rnacentral:ncRNA from 2 species
GUUUCAAGUGACGGGAGUCUAUACAUAGGCUGAGAGUAAGCUAAGAGCUUAGACCGAACCGGAUCUGGGUAAUGCCAGCGUCGGGAACGCUAGAAUCAUAUUUG